rnacentral:lncRNA from 1 species
AAACUACAUUUAACCUCUCACUGCCCUAGGGGUGGAGGCCUUGCUCCACCCCCUCCCCGCACCCCCAAUUCUAGUACAGAGAUGGGAUAAACACAGCCCUGAACUGUCUUGACAGGAGCAGCAGCAGGGCCAGAGCAAGUGGCAGGGGUUGUACAGUUUAUUUCUGAGGGGGAGGGGGAUGCACAGAGGAGUCAGAGAUGCCUUUCCUUCAGGAAGUGGCAGAGAUGAUUCAAUAUGUCACAUUUCUUUUCCUCCUGAGUCAGGGAUCAACUGGCACAUGGACCCUGUGCUGAGAAUGCUCAGGGUGCUUGUUUAAACUCAGUUACAGCAGUUUUUUCUGCUGAUAGUUGAUAAUAGAAAGCCCUCAAUGAAGUGUACAUCCUUGAGCAGAUUCCUGCAAAAUGCAGACUGGUUAUGCUAUUUCCCCAAAUGUCCCCCUAGCCCUAGAGGUCUCUUUCUCUGCUCCCUACCCCAUCAUAUAGACAUUGGUACAAGCAGUCUCCCUGAGGGACUAAGGCCAGGCCACUGGGGGUUCCACCUCUGCCACUUAGGAGCUUGGCAAACUGGACCUCUCUGUGCCUUGGUUUUCUCAUCUUCCUGGCAAGGUGAAGAUUACAGAAAAUCUAUGUAAAGCCCUUAGCACACGCCUGGCACACCGGAGGGAUUUGACAAGUGGCAGAUGAUUUUAAUACAUUAAUCAUGUACUAUUAGAGCUGAGCUCAAAAAUCUUUUUAUGGAAUCCUAUGUCUACAGCAGCAGUUCUCAAACUUGAACAUGCAUGAGAAUUCCCAGCGGAGGUGGUUAAAUCAGAUUGCUGGGCCUCAUCCCCAGAGAGUGUGGGGCCCGCGAACAUGCAUUUCUAACAAGUUCCCAGGUACUGCAGACACUGGGCCCGGUCCAGGGGCCACUCUCUCCACAGUGCAGAAUCACAGGGCCCUUCAUGACUAACCAGCACCCUCUCCUGUCCCCACUUGGCCGUGGCCUUUCCUGGUUUCUGACCAGCUCAGGGCUAGCUCUGCUUGUCCCCACCUCUGCCCCUUCCCCUGCUCUCUCUGCCUUCAGAAUCGUGUCCAUUCGUCCAGGCCCAGCCUAGCACCACCAGCCCAGCUCUCCAUUGCAAUCCUGUCCCACUCUGCACCCCCACGGAACCUUGCUUGUUCCUCUUGGCAGGUUUAGACCCACUUAACUGCAAGGAACGAGGACUGUGCAGUCUUGUCUGUGCUACUAGCUGGGGAGCUUUUCAGGGCUCAGGGUAAGUCUGCUGUAUUCCAGGGUGUCUUAAGGAAGUGCAAAAGCAGGGUGCAGAGAACUGAAAGGAAAAAGGCUGACAGGGAGGUUUAAGGAAGUAGAAUGAAUAACCUGAGCAAGGGGAAGUAGUGGCCUGCCAAUCUCCAACAGAAGAAAUGUGAAAUAAAAGAGACAUUGACCAACUGAUCUCUACCCCCGUGAAAGAACAAGUUUGAGGAAAUGGGGUCGAAUUGUGACACAGUAUUAGAUUUAGGUCUGCUCUAGGGAAGUUGCCUCUGGGAACUUGUUAAACAGUGCACUGGAUUAGCAAGGGUGGGUGUGAAUAAUUUUAUCAGCCUUGAAAAAUGGAACGGAUUCCCCAUUACCAUGAGCGUUUUGGACAUUAUCCUGCUUUUCUACCUUGGGUACAAAAUUGAGAGCCCUUGACAGGUUUUCUUCAACUGGGUAUACAGUGGACAGCCGUUUGUGCUACUUAAGGAUAUGCUUUUAAGUGAGUUGCUAACUACAUUCCAAAGAGGAACAAAUAUUUUUCAAAAAUCAGAACUUUCGAAAAGUGGCUCACUUCCCAUUGGGGGGGUGAUGCAAACCCAGGCCAGCAAAUGCUGCUGUGGUGUUCAUGUGACAUCACACAAAACUCGCUUGCCAGGUUUAACCAUCACAUUCCCCCAAAGUUAAGAGUUUUUCUUCCUCGUUUUUAAAGGAAAGUCUUCAAAUUUCUGGUGGCUGGAGGAAAUGACUCUUGUACUCUCAACACUGAACAGGAAAUGUCAUGAGUUAUUAUUAUUCUGAUGAACCCAAAGGGUAGCUUUUGCAGUCGGUUUUUCCUGCCACUUGGAAACCUGGCAGCUCUCUGACUUUGCUUGUGUCAUGUCACCUGCUAGGCCAGGAUUUUUUCGGAUGGGGGAGGCACAGGGGUUGGGUAGAGAGGAAGAGAAACACUCAUCUGAGGCGCUAAAAUCCACCAGGAAAAGGUGUUUCGUGCGAGUGAAAAGCUUUUGCUGAGCUAUGGGUCCAAGGUAAACAUCGCUUCUGCUGGGGGCAGGCGACCAAUCUGAGGCCAGUGUGGGAAGACUGAGGGUCAGGGCCAACGCUGGACCCCCUGGGAAUCAUUGGCUGCUUAUCUCUUCAGUCCUGAGUUUUAAAACUCUGCCUACAUCCUGAACUUCUGAUUCAAAGACACCUUUAGGUCAGGAAAUGGCUCUGAAUUCCAGAGCAUAGAAAUUUCCUGCAGAUCCCAAAGCCUUGGGACUCUUAGCUUGUUUUUGCUUCGGGGUGGGAUAAAAUCUAAACUACUUUGCUUGCCCACAAGGCCCUGAGUGCUGGCUCUGCCUCCCUCUCUCUACCUGCCCUUGGAGUCCAGAAUGCUGUCUUUAGAGGGGCCAGCAAACACUGCACUGUCAGGCCUCCUGCCAUGCCUACCACUAGCCAGCACGAGCCAGCCUUGAACCCUGAGCCCAAAUGCUGCCCCUCACCCCUUUUCUGUGCUUUAGACAAUUGCUGGGUAAGGAAGAAGGGGAUGUUCUCCCCAACACUUUCAGGCUGGUUAAGACACUCUUGUCCUGGGUGCCCACUACACCUGGAAAGCUCACCAGUGACACAAGUGCCCUACUGCCUGCAUGUGUCUAGACUGGGCGCUUCCUGAAGACCACUGCGCUGCCCCUGCUGUCUCCUUAGUCUACUGCAGGGUGUCCGACCUGGAGGAGGCGCUCUCGCUUUGUUGAAACUAAAUGAACACGGUCAACUCAAAUGCUGGCAAGAGCUCUGCCCUGAAUGUGGCAGCCCACAGAAUCUGAGGCUGGAAGUCACAGGUGGUCCACAAAACAAAGACAGCAAGUUAGCACAGGUCUAUGCAGAUGGAGAAGAGAGCUGACCGCUCCCCGCCCCCCCACCACCUCCCAGACAAGGCGAGGGUGGGGGGGUGCCUGCAGGAAACAGACUGACAGACAGCCUGACAGCGCCUCCGGAAUGAGGACAGAGAUACCAGGCUUCGCGGAUCUGCCCGCCGCCCACUCAGUGUCAAACCUCAAAGCUCACCGAGAACUUCAGACCGACUCGGUCUUGUAUUUUGCAGAAGUGCCCUGUCUCACUCUUGGCUUCUUCAGGCUCAGGGCUUUCAUUUGGCGAAGAAACGGCGAGUUGAGCUUAAACUCACUGUUUCUAGCAGUGGGUCCUACAGAAAGCCCACAGGUGGAAGCCGGUGGGAAACACACACGGAGAAGGGGCCUGCCUGUCUCCAAACCAGGUGGAGACCAUCCAGGUCCUUGGUGGGAAAAUCACCUGCUGGGUAGAAUCCCAGCUACUGGGGGAAGGUGCCUGGAGGUGGGGUCAGUGUGUUUCCCUCCAGGGCUGGAGUCAGAUGCAGCAGGGAGACAGCCGGCAGGCCAGGGGUUGUCCUGGCAGCGAAAUGGCAGAUGUGCUGGGGAGGGACUUGCAGACCCACAUCCACUGCACAACCAGCCUGGACAGCAUCUCUCAUCCUCUGGACACACCACAGGGCAGGGAGAAACGCUAAGAUCUUUUUCCAUGAGCUUCCAAAAUGGGAAAACAGCAUGGGGGGAAUUUUACUACUGAUCUGGCAGAGAAAGUUCACACAGCACCUUCUUCAAACAACACUCUCUGCAAAGGACGCCCUGGUUUGGAACUCCCCUUUUCAUGGCCUCAUAAAAUACUGAUUUACUGACCUUAAGAGAUACACCUUUAUUGUUUCAGUUUUCCUGGUGUAAGAAUUUCUGGUAGAUAACUGAAAAAGCAAGCUCAUAUUUCCUUAUCAACACA